GAUGACGGAGCUGGUUUCAUCAAUGAGAGUCAUUGGUAAAAAUGGUUUGCUUCCGUUCCAAAAAGGUAUACUCCAAAGCAAUAAUGCUUUGAAAUUGCUGCUGAAUGACUUAAGACAGCAGCACAAAAUUGAUUACGUUUUGACCUAUCGAUUGAACCAGGACGUUUUGGAAAAUUUUUUUGGCGUAAUCAGGUCAAAGGCGGUCUUCACGAUCACCCUGACAGGCAGGAGUUCAAAUAUAGGCUGCGUUCCUAUAUACUUGGUCACAACGAAGGAGCGAUCACAGAAGAAGGCAAUGUUGAAGUCGACAACACACCAGAUUUGGAAGGAAAUUACUUAUCUCUAACCGGUAAUAUUUUUCAACGUGUGUCAGUUGAUCUGAAUUCCACUGACCCAAUCGAAAAAAAUGAUGACUUGGAGAUUCUCAACAACGACGGACUUGAGAAUUUGGCAGGGUACAUCUGCCACAAACUCGGUAGAGACAACCCCGAAAUUUGUGCCAAUUCCGAAAAUUGUUCGUCCCAUACUUGGGUGGAUCACCUUUCAGAAGGAGGACUCUCAAAACCAACAGAUAUGUUGAUGGAGCAUAUGAGAGCCUUGCAAGCAAUAUUUGACGACGUCAAUGGUAAUGAUUUGCAUAUAUGUACAAAUUACGUCCAGAAACACAUAGAUUUAAGUGAUUUUGUAAAUUGUAGCUCGAAAAUAAAAGAAUUAUUUUUCAGAGCUAGAAUGUAUUUUAGGAUUCGUUCCUUAAAUAAAAACAUAAUUGAACAUAUGUUUAAUAAAAAAAGGAAAUUAAAUAAAACAAUAAAUUGAU